AUCCUGCCGACGAGUCUCAAAUAGGACUAAACGAGCGUGCUGGAU
rnacentral:hammerhead_ribozyme from 1 species